rnacentral:rRNA from 1 species
CAUAGCGACUAUCGUGGCAUAUCAAUAAGCGGAGGAAAAGAAACUAACAAGGAUUCCCUUAGUAACGGCGAGUGAAGCGGGAAGAGCUCAAAUUUGAAAUCUUCAAGGUUCUACCUUGACGAAUUGUAGUUUAUAGGAGUGUUUUCUGUUGGAGUUUUGGUAAAAGUUCUUUGGAAUAGGACAUCAUAGAGGGUGAGAAUCCCGUAUUUGACCAUUAUUUCCAGCUUUGUGAUACACUUUCAAAGAGUCGGAUUGUUUGGGAAUGCAGUCCAAAAUGGGUGGUAAAUUUCAUCUAAAGCUAAAUAUUGGCGAGAGACCGAUAGCGAACAAGUACCGUGAGGGAAAGAUGAAAAGAACUUUGAAAAGAGAGUUAAACAGUACGUGAAAUUGUCAAAAGGGAAGCGUUUGACACCAGUGUUGUUUAGUUGAAAAUCAAUUCAAUAGUUUUUGAUUUUAAGUAGUAUUGACUUCAUCAGCUUGCUGCUUUCUUUUCGGAAAUUAUUGAAUGCACUUUUCAGUUAACAAGUCAACAUCAAUUUCUUUUGUUGUAAAAGGGUAAGAGGAAGGUGGCUUACGCCUCGGCGUAAGUGUUUAUAGCCUUUUACCUCUGCAAUCGGAGAGAUUGAGGACAGCAGCGUAGACUCUUCGGGGUUAGAUACACUUGUGCUAAGCUAUAGCCUUGUAUAGACAACUUGUUGACUAUGCUCAGUCAUGUAGCUUACUCGCUUGUGCUAUUUUACCUACGCUUAGGAUGUUGAUAGUCACAGCGUGUAC